CCCUUAGAUGUUCUGGGCCGCACGCGUGCUACACUGAGUGGAUCAGCGGGCCAGGUUGCGCGAAAGUGUUUCCUAAUCUUGAAAUCCGCUCGUGAUGGGGAUUGACGGUUGCAAUUUUCCGUCAUGAACGGGGAAUACCUUGUAAGCGCGGGUCAUCAUCCCGCGCUGAAUACGUCCCUGCCCUUUGUACACACCGCCCGUCGCUCCUACCGAUUGAGUGGUCCGGUGAGGCUUUGGGAUCUGAGCGGAAAGAGCGUUUCGCUGUUUCUGCUCGGAAAACUCAGUCGAACCUUAUCAUUUAGAGGAAGGAGAAGUCGUAACA
rnacentral:rRNA from 1 species